CUGGGAGAGGUGCCCAGAGCGGAACUGCUGACAUCCGCCUCCGUGUGACCUUGUCUCCCCAAGGCCGGUCCACUUGCUGUCGCCUGGCUGUGCUGGCCGCUGGAGGCCAAGUGCCCGUGUGCUCUGGAGGCACCCUUGGCCCUGACCGGCUGCCCUUUCUGGACACACAUGCUGUCCCCUGGUGCUCACGGCGGGGCUCCCAGGCAGCAGGGCUGGCAUCCGGACACCCAGACCCUCCGCUCCAGAUCUGCACGUCCCGGGAGCUCUGGGAGCCACAUUUGGGAAGCCUGCUCCACGCUGCUGCCCUCCCGACGCUAAGAAUGGGCUUCACGGCUGACAAACACCCAGAACCCCGUUUCUGCACAACCAAAUGUGUGACUGGGCCUCCCGUACGGCUAACGAUGACCAGGUGACCUGUGGCCGCUGCCCAAAGACGUGGCUCUGUGAGAUCCGUGACGGCGACGGCGGAACUCCAGAAGUGGGAAGAAGCCACAGGAGGGACCGUUUCGUGGACGCAUGAAGCCGCUGGGAGCUCACCCUCCAGGAAGGUGGCGUCCGGACAAAGUGACCUCCGCAGCUUGGCAUCCGCGGGGGCCCCAGGGAGGUGCAAAGCGGACACACAAGACGCACCUCCUCAUGCUGUCGCUCCGAGGACGUUUCCCCUCACGGGCAGGGAGGCCAGACCGAGGGCGACCCGUCACAACCGCCACGGCGCCGGGACCGCCCACCUGGGCCACGUGCCCCACUUGCUUCGCGCCGACUGUCACGAGUCUCUGGGCGAAGGCCACCACCGUCCUGGAGGGACGUUGGCGGACAGCAGAGCUGGCAGUGCCACCCACGUUGACCCAGAAAUUCCACUCUUAGAGUCCGCCCUGAGGAAAUGCCACACAAGGGCAGGGGCCCCACGCCCACCACCUGACACGCCAGACACUGCUCCCCGGAUUCUGCGGACCCAGUGGGGGCACCAUCCUAGCCCUCACAGGGGGCCCCACACCACGGGGGACGCGGCCCAGAUUCUGGUCGAGGUCUCUGACGGGGGCUGCGGACGCCUGGGGGCAGCGGGCUGCGGCGUGUGCCUCGGCCCUGCAGCCCCGGGCACACGCCGGCUUCUCGGAGUCCAGUGCAGGCCUGGCGGGGCCAGGAGGCUGGGGUGGGCCCAGCAGCCUAGGAAACAGCUCACCGUCAGGAACGUCCGUCGUGUUACGGCCGACGAGCUUCCCCCCCCUCCUGCAAAGAGACCCAAACCAGAUGAGAAGUAUUAUUCAUCCAGCAUCUGGGCACUGACCUGUGAUGGCCUGGCUGGCAUUGUUGAGCGCUGUAACGUGCCUGAGAUGCGUGUCGGCGAUUGGAUGCUCUUUGAAAACAUGGGCGCUUACACAGUGGUUGCUGCUUCCACUUGCAAUGGAUUCCAGAGGCCAGCCAUCUACCGUGUGAUGUCGGGGCCACGUGGCAGCUGAUGCGGCAGAUCUAGGAUCACGACGUCCCCCGGAGGUGGAGGAGCAGGAUGCUGGCCCUUCGCCCGUGUCUUGCGUUUGCGGGAGCGGGAUGGAGCGCCACCCGGCAGCCGGGGCUUCAGCGCGUAUCAUCGUGUAAACACCGCUCUUGCAGCUGCUCACCGCGAGUUCAGCUUGAAUUAAGGGUUUGGGGGGACUGCUUUCCUUAAUUCCUGCCAAGUGGGACUGUCCAUGCGAGAGGGUUGGCACAGAUGCGGCAAAAUGUGGGAGACGAGGAGAUGGGGUCACACCAGUCUGCACUCCUGUGGAAACUAUCUGAAUAUUCAUUUUAUGUGGAUUUUAAUUCACUUUGCAACGAUGCUACUAGAGGGCCCCUCGCCUGCAGGGCAAGGGUUUGUAGCCUGUGUGUUGGCAGGAUGGCCCAGAAGCUCAGUGCUGUGACCUGUUUUUUUUAAAUAACAAUAAAAGAUCUUGAAAUUAAAAAAAAAAAAAAGAAGUAAUCUCUCGCUUUCAAGGGAUCCCGAGUCAGACUGAAGGCUGAUUCUCAUCAGAAACCACGGAGAAUGUAUUCAACGUUCUGAAAGUUAAAGGCAGUCAACCAAGGAUUCUAUGUACAGCAGGACCGUCCUGCAGAAACAAAAGAGAAAUCAGGACACAUCCACAAAAUAACAAAAUAAAGUGACAGACAUAAAUGUAUCAACUUUAUAAAUGUAUAUCUUUAAUUUUAACAAAAUGAACAAAAGAAAAUAAAAUCUGGGCGAAUCCAUCACUAGCAAGCCUGCCCUGGGAAAUACACGCAAGAGCGGACUUUAGGCUGACCCUGAUUCGGACUGACAAGAGGAAGCUAAGAACGCUGGGAAAGACAACGCAGAGCUAAAGAGAAGAGACGGGACAAACGCUUUCUCCUGUUUGUCACCUCAAACCGUUAAACGCAGAGUUUGCAAAUAAGCCAGCAAUUCCGCUUCCAGGUACCGGGGCUGGAGCGAGACAGCCACGCAAACCCCGCACAAGAACGUGGACAGCCGCGUGAUUCGUCAUCGACCCAAACCUCCCUGGACGGAUGAAGGGAGAGGCGCACCGCGCGGUCCAUCCGCGCCAUGGACGGCCACCCGGCCACGGCAGUGUCCCGGCACACGGCGGCUUGGAGGCGCUUCAGGCACUUUUCGCUCAGGGAGGGAAGCCCGACUCAUGAGAUGCCACCCUACGUGCUUCCUCCAGAACGGGGAGCCCAGAGACAGAGGGCAGAGCGGUGGCGGCCCGGCCGGGAGGAAGCGGGGUGGGGAUGGAGUGCUCAUGGGCACGGGGUUGCUGCUGGGGUCAUGGGAACCGUGCGGAACCAGAGACGGGGGACGGUGUCCCGCCUGCGGGAGGGCUGCUGGACUCAAUGGUGCUGGACCGCACUUCUGAAGGGAAAAUUGGAAGAUACGCGCGUUGGAUUCAAUUUUUAAAGGUUCUGUACGAAGUGAUCCUUGUAAAAUACACUGACUGUAGUUAGGCGGGGGCACCCGUGCCCCUCCAUGUCCCUCCGCGCUCCCGGUCCCAGGGGAUGGGCCUGUGCCUGCCAUCACGGGAGCAGUCAGCUGUGUGCCCGCUGUCCCGGGAGCACCUGCCCAGGGCACCAGGACCCACGGAGUCCCCCUCCCCGUGGCUCUCAAGGAGCAGCCUGGCCCUGUCCGAACUCAGAGGCCUUCGUGCCGAGAGCGUCUGGCAUCUUGCCACAGCAGCAGCAGUCUCUGGCUUUGGCCAGCCGCCAGCCCUCCCCUGCCUCUCCUCCAAGGCCCAAUCUGCUCGCAUCGGCCACUGAUUUCUGAGUCUAAGGAUGUCGUGUUUAUACCGUGUAAGAUGAGUGUUUCGGCAGGAGCGUCUAGGAUCCAAUCCUGGGGUGCGGUAGGGGGUGGUCCUUGCCCAGGGAGCCUGACCUCAGGCCCAGGGGAUGAGGCGGGAUGGAGGCCGGAGGAGGGAACCUGGCCAGGCUCCCACUGCUGGGCGGAGGCAGCCUUGAAUCCAGGCCCCCAGCAAGGACUCACGGGAAAUCGGGCGAGGAGAUGCUGCGGGGCCCCUCCAUUAAAAAUCAUCUUUCCAGAGCACUGCCUUGUGGUGCAGCCGGUUAAGCACUGGGUGUUGUCACGGCUGUGGCACGGGUUCAAUCCCUAGCCCAGAACUUCCUCGUGCCCCUGGUGCAGCCAAAAAAGAAAGUCGUCUCUCUUGACUCUCAAGGGUUAGAGCCGCACAUCUCCCUGGUCCACGGAUCAACCCCGAAGCUGGGCGGCUGGGACCUGAGAGGAUUUGAGCUCCAGGACCCCAGCCCAGCCCUUUCGGGAGGCACUCGGGUGGACCGGGGGACGGGCACUCCAGGCGGGGAACCUGGGAAAGGCAGGGGCUCCGGGCACAGGUCUGCUCCUCCCGCUCCACGUCUGUUAUUCCAUGAUGCGAGCACAGGUGGUACUUAAACCAAGGACAAUGCCCCCGCCCCGUGCCAGCCGUCGCUAGAGGCCUUUCCAGCAGGAGAAAGCUCAGCGUCCAGAGGCUGCGGCUCUGCGAACACAGUUUGGCCCCGGGGCCUCGGACAAAAGCAAACGCGCUGGCUUGAAACAACAGAGGUUUCUUCUCUCACAGUUUUGAGGCCAGAAGUUCAAAAUCAAGGCGUGGUGGGGUGACAGGGUCUUCGGAGGCUCUCGGGGAGGGUCCUUCCUGCCUCCCGCAGCUUCUGCCGGCUGCCAGCCUUCCGGUGGCCCCCUUAUUUUAACGUCCUUAAUUUAAUCACCCAUUUUGCCAUAGAAGGGGAUAUUCACGGGUUCCAGAAAUGAGGGCCUGCAUGUCUUUCUGGGGGCAUUUUUCCUCGUAGGCUUUUCUGUGUUCUAAGUGGAUCCUUCUGCUCUGCAGGAAAGACUCGAUCCUAAACAUUUUGUGAUGA